rnacentral:rRNA from 1 species
UGGAGAAGUUGAGGGGGGGCUGCUCCUAGUACGAGAGGACCGGAGUGGACGCAUCACUGGUGUUCGGGUUGUCAUGCCAAUGGCACUGCCCGGUAGCUAAAUGCGGAAGAGAUAAGUGCUGAAAGCAUCUAAGCACGAAACUUGCCCCGAGAUGAGUUCUCCCUGAGACUUUAAGUCUCCUGAAGGAACGUUGAAGACGACGACGUUGAUAGGCCGGGUGUGUAAGCGCAGCGAUGCGUUGAGCUAACCGGUACUAAUGAACCGUGAGGCUUAACCUUAC